CACGUAGGGUGCGAGCGUUGUCCGGAAUUAUUGGGCGUAAAGAGCUCGUAGGCGGUGUGUCGCGUCGGCCGUGAAAACCUGCAGCUUAACUGUGGGCUUGCGGUCGAUACGGGCAUCACUGGAGUUCGGCAGGGGAGACUGGAAUUCCUGGUGUAGCGGUGAAAUGCGCAGAUAUCAGGAGGAACACCGGUGGCGAAGGCGGGUCUCUGGGCCGAUACUGACGCUGAGGAGCGAAAGCUAGGGGAGCAAACGGG
rnacentral:rRNA from 1 species